rnacentral:lncRNA from 1 species
AUAUUGACCAUUAAUAUGGUCACCACCACAGAAAUCACAAAGUUGUUGAGCCUGAGACACAUUCCUGAUCUCCUUUGGAAGUUGAGUGAAAAUCUUUGUCAAAUUAUCCAAUUUUUGAGUGAGAAGAUGAUUCUGAGCUAGUAAUGCAUCAUCAGCAGGCAAAUGUAGAACUCCUCUCUUUUGAGCUAUUGAACCUCUUUCACUAUGCGUUUCUUGCUCAUUCACCGCCAUACUUUCAAUCAAAUCAUAAGCCUCAUCCUCAGUCUUUCUCUUUAUGUCGCCUUCAACUGAAGCGUCUAACGUCAUUUUAGACUGUGUACUAAGGC